rnacentral:misc_RNA from 1 species
AUUACAUCUACCCAAAAACCAACAAAUUCAGGAUGAUGUCCCAUGCGAUUAUUCCAUGCUAACGUAUUCAUAACAUACAUUUGCUUGAAGCACUCUCAUUUCCUCAAAGUAAAAGUUCUGGACAAAGUGCAACAGAACUAACUGCAAACACUUGCACCAGAGAAGUGCUCAGACCGAACUGAGUACGCACCACUAGGGAGGACCGUCAGGCUUGAACAAACAUUCGACUACGAGCGUUCUAACCGCAACAAUUUUAAUAUACGCUAUUGGAGCUGGAAUUA